UACGGGGGGGGCAAGCGUUGUUCGGAAUUACUGGGCGUAAAGGGCUUGUAGGUGGCCAACUAAGUCAGACGUGAAAUCCCUCGGCUUAACCGGGGAACUGCGUCUGAUACUGGAUGGCUGGAGUGUGGGAGAGGGAUGCGGAAUUCCAGGUGUAGCGGUGAAAUGCGUAGAUAUCUGGAGGAACACCGGUGGCGAAGGCGGCAUCCUGGACCACAACUGACGCUGAGGUGCGAAAGCUAGGGGAGCAAACGGG
rnacentral:rRNA from 1 species